rnacentral:rRNA from 1 species
GGUAUUGUCAAAAUUUUGAUACUACAAGCUCUUGCUUUUCAUGGUCAUGAUGAGUCUACUAGCUCAAUGAAUAAGGGUAACUUCAAAGAGUUGUUGGACUUGUUUAGAAAGAAAGACCCAAAGGUGGCAAAAUUAUUUGGGGAUGCAGGAGAUAACCAUAAGCUGACUUCACAUAAGAUACAAUUGGAUUUAUGCAAGGCUUGUGUAAAAGAUACCACCAAUGUCAUUCUUGAGGAGAUUGGAGAUAGUAAAUUUGCAUUACUUGUUGAUGAGUCAAGAGAUGCAUCUAUGAAGGAGCAAAUGGCUAUGUGUUUGAGGUAUCUCGGCAAACAAGGGGAGGUGAUUGAGAGAUUCAUGGCAGUUGAGCAUAUUCCUGACACGAGAGCAACUUCCCUGAAGAUAGCUUUGAAUGGUAUGUUUGGUACUCUUGGUUUAUCUAUGUCUAAUUUGAGAGGGCAUGGUUAUGAUGGGGCUUCAAACAUGAGAGGGGAAUUUCGUGGGUUGCAAAGAUUGAUCUUGGAGGAAAAUCCUUAUGCUCAUUAUAUACAUUGUUUUGCCCAUCAGUUACAAUUAGUGGUUGUUGCUGUUGCCAAGUGUUGUUCAUUAGUAAGGGAUUUUUUUUAGUACACAAGCAUGGUUGUUAACAUUGUUAAUGCAUCUUGUACAAGACAUGAUCAGUUAGCCCAAGAGCAACAUGAUGAAAUAGUGCGCCAAAUAGAGGCUGGGGAACUUCUUGAGGGAAGAAGGAAAAACCAAUUAACUAACCUUUCAAGACCCGAUGAUAUUUCCCAAAGAACCACACGCGCGGGGUUGAUAAAGCACAUGGAGUCCUUCGAAUUUGUUCUCAUAUCGCAUCUUAUGAUUAGAUUAUUGGGCAAGACUAACAAUCUGUCACAAUGCUUGCAAUUGAAAAAUCGUAAUAUUGUACGUGUUGUGGGAUUGAUUAAAACCACAUUAGAUAAUAUUCAAGAGAUAAGGCAGAAUGGUUGGGAUGAGCUCUUUAAAGAGGUAACAGACUUUUAUGUCAAAUACAACAUUGUAGUGCCAAAUAUGUAAGAUACAAGAACUGCGAAUGGACGUUCAAGGACUCAGGGUGGGCAAUUGGUAACUUACAACCAUCAUUUAAAAGAAAUAUUCAAUUUGUUUCAUGAUCAACUUAUUGUGGAGUUAAACAACCGCUUUGCUGAAAGGUCUACUCAAUUGUUUAGAUGCAUUGCUUGUCUUCAUCCCAAGAAUUAUUUUGCCAAUUAUAAUGAAGACAAGCUAGUAGAUCUUGCUAAUAUGUAUGCUACUGACUUUUCUACAUAUGAAGUUACUUUUGUCCUUAAACCAAUAGACUCAUUCAUUCGGGAAGCAAGAGCUGGUCCACAUUUGAUGAAUUGCAAUGAUCUUGGUCAUCUUGCCAUUAAUAUGGUUAAAAGUGAUAUGCACACAACUUUUCCCUUGGUUUACCGUCUUGCUGAGUUAGCAUUGAUUUUACCUGUUGCAACCGCAAUAGUGGAAAGAGCAUUCUAAGCAAUGAGCAUUAUCAAGACUGGAUUGAGGAACAAAAUCGGUGAUGAUUGGAUGAAUCAUAGAAUGGUAUGUUAUAUUGAGCGAGAUGUAUUUGUCCGUAUUGAAGAAUCAAAGAUCAUCGAGUGAUUUCAAGGUUAUCACACACGUAAAGGUGUUUUGCCUCGUCCUAUAUGUGAGUUCUCACAUUUUGCAUGUAUCAUUAACUAG